rnacentral:lncRNA from 1 species
CCACGGGACACUACCGGCGACCAAGGUACCUCAAAUCCUUCCGGGAGCUGUCACAAGGUCAAGGGGAGCUGCACGCAAUCUCAGGAUCAAGUGCAAUGCCUUCGCGGAAGAGUUCAUCCAAACACACGACCCACGGCCAUACGGCCCCAUUGGACCCGACCAUCCGGACGAUCAUGAGCUUGUCCGGACCGUCUUCACCAUCACUAGGUGAAGGCAUCAAAGUCACUAGCUGGACGUGGUACUCUUUUUCCCUACUUGGGUUUAUCCCACGUGGUUUACCAAGAGGGUUUUAACGAGGCCAACGUACACUAGCGCAUGACCACGCAUCUCCGCAUGACGUGGCCAUCUCUCCUCCCUUUCGUAAUAAAGCCGUUAGGCUCUUCUUGUCUUAUGGUUUGUAUUUUGACACGUCUAUCCUUGUUGACCCGCGCUUUGACUGUUUGCUUUAGGGUUUUAUGAGUCUCCCUUGUAAACGCCUAUAUAAAGGCCCUCUAAGUCACUUGUAAGGGUUAGCUUCUUUUGAAAUAAAAAUCAGUCCUUUCUUUUUUCUCAUUUGUUGCGAAAACAUUGAGAGCUCCUUAGAGUCUUUGAAUCGGAUUCAAAGCCUCUAAGUGUAACCGUAUCACGAGCCCACCAUCCCUCGUGUGUCAUUACCUCGUUCCACCUUCACACCCCUCUUCUCCAAGUCACCACCGGUUCGAGAUACUCACCGGUUGUCGCUACCCACCCUCGCCAAUCAUCCCUUUGGAGUCUAGGCGAUUCGAGCUACUCAUCGUCAACCUCCCUCGCCGUCCCGCAACCGUCUGUGACCGAAGGCCCUGUCCGUACCGAUCGCCGACCGUACCAUCGUCCCGAAGGCUAUUUCCGUGACCGUGUGACGCAUCAGCUUUUGGUAUCAGAGCCGAACGUUCCUAAGGUUGUAUCUAUCCUUCUUAGUUCUCUUUGUGUUGUUUAUCGUUGUUUCAUUUCAAAAAAAAAAAAAAAAAAAAAAAAAAAAAAAAGUUUUCUUUCCUUGUGUUCUUCGCCUUCCCUUCUUGUUUCUCUUAGAAAGUCUUAGUCUUUUUGUGUUUUAGUAUCAUUUUGGGUUAAAAGCUUGAGUUUUGCUUCGGGUUUUUGUUUCGUGGCCUUGAAAACCACUCGUUUGAAGUCGCUUUUCGUUUUUAGCCGGUUUUGAUUUUUUCGUGUUCUUCGUGUUCAUCGUGCUCUUCACCGUGUUUUUCAUCUUGUUAGGCUGUUAGAUCUUUAGUUGUUUUGUUCCUUAGUGUUAUCGCUUUAGUUUGGUGGCCUUGAAACCACGUGUAUCGUUUUGGGUCACACGGUUUCGUACCGUUUGUCCUCUAGCGUUUUCGUUUUGGUCUUAGGUUGCUUUUUUUUGCUUUUUGACCGUUCUCUCUCCAAUCAUGAGCUGUCACUUUUUUUGAAAUUGAUUCCAUCUUAUCAACAUAUCGCAACCUUAAAACGCACGUGUUCUUUGUUUGGGACAGGUGGGACGAACCUCGCUAGCCGUACGGACCAAACGGACCACGACAGCGACCGUACGUACCAUCGACCAUCGACCAACGACCAUACGUACCAUCGACCACCGACCAUUGGCCACCGACCGCCACCAGUCUACCAUCGCCGGUUACUCACUCCGACCAACUUUCCGACCACCCGCCGCCGUCUGACAUUUCCCGGUGUACCGGAAUCCGUACUAUGGCCGGACAAGACCCACCUAUAGCACCCGCUCCUCCACCCGACCUUGGAGUCAUUCUGACCCAAAUCCAAGCUCAAAUGGGACGGAUCGAUAAUCGGCUUUAUCUCUUUGAGCAAGCUAUACCACCACCCGUGCCCCUUGUACGACGGGUCCGAGACCAAAGACUCCCACCAGUCGACGACCAAGAACAAGAUCAAGGUCAAGGUGAGGGACACACGUCGGAUGAAGAAGACUCCGACUAUCCAAGACGAAGAAACAACCGACGGGACAACGAACGACCAAUGGGUCCUAAUCUCACCGGACCCUCCUGCAAGCUUACCGUCCCAACCUUUGCGGGAAAGGUUGAUCCGGAGGCCUACCUACAAUGGGAAGGCCGAAUGGACAAGGUUUUCUCUUGUUACAACUACCCGGAGAUACGAAAGGUCAUUAUAGCCGCUGCUCAAUUCACGGACCAUGCCCUUACUUGGUGGGACCGCGACGUCGACGACCGACGACGUAACCACGAGAGACCCGUGGCCACUUGGGACGCAAUGAAGGCCAUCAUGAGACGCCGAUACAUUCCCCAAUACUUUAGCCGUGACCUACAACGCGAUUUAGGAAGCUCACUCAAGGAAUAAAAAGCGUUGAGGAAUAUUAUGAGGACUUUGAGCACUUGAGGAACCGUUUACAACUAGAAGAGACCGAAGAGGCUUUGAUGGCCCAAUUCUUAGACGGAUUGAAUGACCGGAUCACAAGGAAGGUUGAACGCCAAUCCUACCAAGGGUUUGAGGAGAUGUUGCACCUAGCCAUCCAAGUAGAACAACAAAUCAAGAAGAAAAUUGCAAGCACCAUCCGGACCAAGGGACAAGGACUUCCAAGUUGGUCGCCCAACGCCUCACCGUCUCAUGGGAACAACCGAGUAGCCGACAAGACCAACCGAGGUACCACCGAACCAAAAGCCGCCCGUAUCGACACAAGAUUCAAGCCCCGAGAGACCACCAAAGACAACCGUCCCGACCCAAGACCUCAACCCGCCGACUCAAGGACCCGAGACAUCAUUUGCUUCAAGUGUCAAGGCCAAGGUCAUUAUGCCCGAGACUGCCCCAACCAACGCACCAUGAUCAUCACCACCGCCGGAGACUAUGAAUCCCAAGACGAAGACGACGCCCCACAAGGCCAAGGCAUUGACUCCAAGAUCGAGGAAGCCAUUACCGAACCGGAAGUUGGAGAACUUCUCAUGAUCCGCCGCAUGCUAAGCACAAGCCAAGCCAUGGACGACUCCAACCAAUGCGACAACAUCUUCCACACCCGGUGCAUGGUAAGUGGGAAGGUUUGUGGCUUGAUCAUAGAUGGGGGCUCUUGCACCAAUGUUGCGAGUUCUUAUAUGGUCAAGAAACUUUCUUUGGCUACCACAAGCCAUCCCAAACCUUAUAAGCUUAAAUGGUUGAACAACAAAUCCGUAAUCCAAGUCUCGGAACAAGUGUUAGUUUCUUUUAGUGUUGGCCCCUACCAAGACCAAGUCUUAUGCGAUGUUGUCCCUAUGCAAGCUAGCCACCUAUUGUUGGGUCGGCCUUGGCAAUUUGAUAAGAAGACAUCGCAUUGUGGCCUUACCAAUGAGUAUACUUUUAUCCAUAAUAGUAAACGAAUUUGCUUAAAGCCUUUGUCACCCACCCAAGUCAAUGAAAUGCAAUCGAAAAUGUCUAGUGAACCUAGCUCUAAGUCAAAUUUCUUGGUUAAUUCUAGUGAUGUUAGGAGAUCACUAUGUGACUCCUCUUGCCAAGUGUUACUAAUGGUCUUUAAAGAUGUUUUGACUAUAGAUUGUGAAGGCAAGGACAUUCCGGAGGAGAUUAAGGCCAUCAUCAAGCGUUUUCAAGAUGUGUUUCCGGAAGAACUACCGCAUGGCUUGCCACCUAUCCGAGGGAUUGAACAUCAAAUAGAUCUUAUUCCGAGAGCUCAAUUGCCAAAUAGACCCGCCUAUAGAUUCAACCCAACCGAAGCUAAAGAACUAGAGAAGACCUUUGAAGUAGAGUGUGACGCGUCGGGCAUCAGGAUUGGAGCGGUCCUAACCCAAGGAGGCAAACCCGUGGCCUACUUUAGUGAGAAGUUACAUGGCCCUACCCUCAACUAUCCGACUUAUGAUAAGGAGUUAUACGCUUUGGUCCGAGCUAUGGAGACUUGGCAACAUUAUCUACUACCGAGGGAAUUUGUGAUCCAUACGGACCAUGAGACCUUGAAACAUCUUAGAGGCCAAACCAACUUGAAGAAGAGACAUGCGAAGUGGCUAGAGUUUAUAGAGGCUUUCCCAUACGUUAUCAAUUACAAGAAGGGCAAAGAAAAUGUUGUAGCCGACGCGCUAUCAAGAAGACACGCGUUGAUCACAACCAUGGAAGCAAGGGUUUUGGGUUUUGAAGGGAUCAAGGAAGUUUACAAAGAAGAUCCGGAGUUUGGGGAGAGUUAUAGGGAUCACGGCAAAGGAAUUCACUCACGGUUCUACAUCCAAGACGGGUUUCUCUUUCGGGACAAAAGGCUUUGCAUACCCGCCGGAUCUAUUAGGACCCUACUAAUGCAAGAGUCACAUGGAGGAGGCCUAACCGGGCAUUUUGGGGUUACUAAGACUUUGGAAGUCUUAAAGGAACAUUUCUAUUGGCCUAAGAUGAAGCGGAUGGUCGAGAAGUUCGUAGGCCGUUGCAUCACUUGCCGUACCGCCAAGGCCACCCCACGGCCACAUGGCCUCUACAAGCCCCUACCGAUUCCGAAUGCACCAUGGGUCGAUUUAUCUAUGGAUUUCUUGCUUGGAUUGCCUAUCCAAUACCGCAAAGACUCCAUCUUCUUCGUAGUAGACCGAUUUUCCAAAAUUGCUCAUUUUAUACCUUGCAAUAAGACAUCGGACGCCACGGCCUUAGCCAAUUUGUUCUUUCGGGAAGUUGUGAGGCUCCAUGGAAUACCCUGUAGCAUCGUGUUGGACCGAGACCCCAAGUUCCUUGGUCACUUUUGGAGGACUUUAUGGAGAAAGAUGGGAACUAAGCUACUAUACUCAACCGCGUGUCAUCCUCAAACGGAUGGUCAAACUGAGGUCGUCAACCGAACUUUAGGCGCCUUGAUCCGGACCACCGUGGCAAGCAAUCCGGGCACUUGGUUAGAGCUACUUCCCUUUAUGGAGUUCGCAUACAAUCAGUCCGUGCAUUCGACAACGAAGAAGUCUCCAUUUGAAGUGGCCUACGGAUUCAAACCUUUAACCCCCGCGAGUUUGCUACCCUUACCACCCAAUGAGAUAGAAUGUCAAGACGGAUUAGCCAAGGCCGAGCUGAUCAAGAAGUUACACACCGAAGUCCGGGAAAAUCUAGAAAGAAGAACCGAGCAAUACGCGCGAAAAGCCAACCAACACCGCAAGGCCAUGAUUUUCAAGCCGGGAGAUUGGGUUUGGUUACACUUAAGACCGGAGCGGUUCCCACAACGUAGAAAGGACAAGCUUAGCCCAAGAGGAGAUGGCCCUUUCCAAGUCAUCGAGCGGAUCAAUGACAACGCCUACCGCUUGGAGCUACCCGGUACGUAUAACACGUCUACUUCCUUCAAUGUUUCUGAUUUGGUUCCUUUUGAUGUAGGGAAUGAUGAAGGAGUUCUGAGGUCAGAACCUUCCCAAAGGGGAGGGGAUAAUGAGACCCAACCUACCGGACAGCAUACGGACAACGAUCCGGACGAGGGCCGGGACGAGGGACGGGACAUGGACCAACCCGGAGCAACCCACGGGACACUACCGGCGACCAAGGUACCUCAAAUCCUUCCGGGAGCUGUCACAAGGUCAAGGGGAGCUGCACGCAAUCUCAGGAUCAAGUGCAAUGCCUUCGCGGAAGAGUUCAUCCAAACACACGACCCACGGCCAUACGGCCCCAUUGGACCCGACCAUCCGGACGAUCAUGAGCUUGUCCGGACCGUCUUCACCAUCACUAGGUGAAGGCAUCAAAGUCACUAGCUGGACGUGGUACUCUUUUUCCCUACUUGGGUUUAUCCCACGUGGUUUACCAAGAGGGUUUUAACGAGGCCAACGUACACUAGCGCAUGACCACGCAUCUCCGCAUGACGUGGCCAUCUCUCCUCCCUUUCGUAAUAAAGCCGUUAGGCUCUUCUUGUCUUAUGGUUUGUAUUUUGACACGUCUAUCCUUGUUGACCCGCGCUUUGACUGUUUGCUUUAGGGUUUUAUGAGUCUCCCUUG